UACGUAGGGUGCAAGCGUUAAUCGGAAUUACUGGGCGUAAAGCGUGCGCAGGCGGUUCGGAAAGAAAGAUGUGAAAUCCCAGGGCUUAACCUUGGAACUGCAUUUUUAACUGCCGGGCUAGAGUAUGUCAGAGGGGGGUAGAAUUCCACGUGUAGCAGUGAAAUGCGUAGAUAUCUGGAGGAACACCGAUGGCGAAGGCAGCCCCCUGGGCUAACACUGACGCUCAUGCACGAAAGCGUGGGGAGCAAACAGG
rnacentral:rRNA from 1 species